GUGUAUUCAUUUUAAAAAUUUACAAAAAAUGUUGGGUCUAAAAAGAUGAUUAUGUUUUAAUAAGAGAGAUUGCUACUGAAUAUGUUAAACUAGGUGUUCUGCCUGCACAUAUGGUAAUAAUGUUUUUUACAAAUACUUAUUAUUUUACAUUUUAUUAAAUUAAAAACAACAUAAUAAGUUAUUAUUUUAUGUUUGUAUAAAAUUAAAUUUAAACAUCAAAUUAUUUAUAUAUGAAUUUUUUUAUCUAUUAAUAUAUGUUUAUUAUUGUCUUUAGAUUUUAAAAUAUUCACAUAUUAAAAAUAU
rnacentral:lncRNA from 1 species